ACGGGGCCGCACAAGCGGUGGAUGAUGUGGAUUAAUUCGAUGCAACGCGAAAACCUUACCUACCCUUGACAUGUCCGGAAUCCCGAAGAGAUUUGGGAGUGCUCGCAAGAGAACCGGAACACAGGUGCUGCAUGGCUGUCGUCAGCUCGUGUCGUGAGAUGUUGGGUUAAGUCCCGCAACGAGCGCAACCCUUGCCAUUAGUUGCUACGAAAGGGCACUCUAAUGGGACUGCCGGUGACAAACCGGAGGAAGGUGGGGAUGACGUCAAGUCCUCAUGGCCCUUAUAGGUGGGGCUACACACGUCAUACAAUGGCCGGUACAGAGGGUAGCCAACCCGCGAGGGGGAGCCAAUCCCACAAAGCCGGUCGUAGUCCGGAUCGCAGUCUGCAACUCGACUGCGUGAAGUCGGAAUCGCUAGUAAUCGCGGAUCAGCAUGUCGCGGUGAAUACGUUCCCGGGCCUU
rnacentral:rRNA from 1 species